rnacentral:rRNA from 1 species
AGUGAACGCUGGCGGUAGGCCUAACACAUGCAAGUCGAACGGCAGCACAGUAAGAGCUUGCUCUUACGGGUGGCGAGUGGCGGACGGGUGAGGAAUACAUCGGAAUCUACUUUUUCGUGGGGGGUAACGUAGGGAAACUUACGCUAAUACCGCAUCCGACCUACGGGUGAAAGCAGGGGAUCUUCGGACCUCGCGCGAUUGAAUGAGCCGAUGUCGGAUUAGCCAGUUGGCGGGGUAAAGGCCGACCAAGGCGACGAUCCGUAGCUGGUCUGAGAGGAUGAUCAGCCACACUGGAACUGAGACACGGUCCAGACUCCUACGGGAGGCAGCAGUGGGGAAUAUUGGACAAUGGGCGCAAGCCUGAUCCAGCCAUACCGCGUGGGUGAAGAAGGCCUUCGGGUUGUAAAGCCCUUUUGUUGGGAAAGAAAAGCAGCAGGUUAAUACCCCGCUGUUCUGACGGUACCCAAAGAAUAAGCACCGGCUAACUUCGUG